GCCGCGUGUCGGGUGCCGCGUUCCAGCACCACGCCCUGGAGUCCAGUGGUGGCCAGGUCAGGACUGCCGACGCGGAGGGUGGGACUCCGAGGCAGCGGCUGGCCCGCUGCACGCCCUCCAGGGGCCCAGCACCGUCCCUCGGCUGGCAGCAAGCGUGGUGUGUCGAGCCUGAGGACUCGGUGUGAGCAGCAGCAGGUGUCUCAGCUGAGCGCAGACACGUGUUCUGGCAGGCUGGCCCAGCUGCCGUAGCCCACAUAAGGGACCACAGCACCAAGUGACGGCCACGUAGAGCUGGGGCGACGCUUUGCUCGACGAGGCCACAGACGCCGUGCUCGGCGACCUGAAAAAUGUGGUCAGACUGAGUCGGCUGCAGCACGAGUUGCCAGCAGCAUCCAGAAACGAAGACGAAAUCGACCACGAAGAAAGUUCGGGGGACCACAAGUGUGUAGGCGGGCGGCCCCCUAGGGGCGGGUGACGGCGCCGCGGUGGCGCUCUGAUGCCAGUCGUCGACACGUGGCUGACGGGGCACCGGACGCCGGGAGCCGCAGUCGGAUGCCUGGUUGCGACACGUCACCUCAGAGUCUGGUGGUGGCGCGGUCAGACUGGAGAGUAGAGUGCUGAGGCAGCUGCUGGUGCACCCCGGCACUGUGCAGUCACUCCAGCUGCCCAGGACGGCCUCUCAGCCAGUGGCUGCAGCCAGCAAGUGCGGUGCGUCGAGCCCGAAGACCCGGUGUGAGCAGCAGCUGGCCGCUCAGCCGGCCACAGCUGUUCUGGCAGGGGGACACAGCUGCCCCAGCCUCAGGCGGGUCACGAAUGUGCACAUAAAGCCUCACACAUACCAGGUGACGGCCACGUAAAGCUGGGCUGGUGCAGUGCUCAGGGAGCCCAGAGACGUCCUCAGAGUGAGUCGGUAGCUCCACGAGUCGCCAGCAGAAUCCAGAAUCGACCUCGGAGGCAGCAGUGAAGAAAGUUCAGGAGACCACAAAUAUGGACGCCCUCCCAUAUGCGGGUGACGCUGGCAGUGGAUGACGUGUGGCUGGUGGACACGAGGCUCUUCCUGUGGCCAGGAGUUCUGCGUCCGAUGCCACGUUCCGACGUGACACCCUGGAGGCUGGUGGUGGCACGGUCAGCCUCUCUGACGUGGAGCGUCCAUCGCUGAGGCAGCUGCUGGCCCACCGCUGUACCCUGCAGAUCCCCAGCUCCCCAGCACGGCCUCUCAGCUUCUGGCUGCUGCCAGCAAGUGUGGCGUGUCCAGCCUGACGUCCAGUGAACGCGAGCCCGCAGCUCGGCUUGCCGUGGAGAACACGGUGGCCGCACUCGUUCUGGCACAGCCGCCCCCGCCUCAGGCAGGCCGCCAGUGCCCUCAUAAAGGCUUACACUCCCCUGGUGAAGGUCAUGCAGAGCCAGGCUGAUGCAGUGUCCAGUGAGACCCGAGACGAGCUCUAAGUGAGUCGGCUGCUUCACAAGUCGGCACUCGUUCUGGCACAGCCGCCCCCGCCUCAGGCAGGCCGCCAGUGCCCUCAUAAAGGCUCACACUCACCUGGUGACGGUCAUGCAGAGCCGGGCUGAUGUAGUGUCCAGUGAGACCCGAGACGAGCUCUAAGUGAGUCGGCUGCUUCACAAGUCGGCACUCGUUCUGGCACAGCCGCCCCCGCCUCAGGCAGGCCGCCAGUGCCCUCAUAAAGGCUCACACUCACCAGGUGACAGCCAUGCAGAGCCGGGCUGAUGUAGUGUCCAGUGAGACCCGAGACGAGCUCUAAGUGAGUCGGCUGCUUCACAAGUCGGCACUCGUUCUGGCACAGCCGCCCCCGCCUCAGGCAGGCCGCCAGUGCCCUCAUAAAGGCUCACACUCACCAGGUGACAGCCAUGCAGAGCCGGGCUGAUGUAGUGUCCAGUGAGACCCGAGACGAGCUCUAAGUGAGUCGGCUGCUUCACAAGUCGGCACUCGUUCUGGCACAGCCGCCCCCGCCUCAGGCAGGCCGGCAGUACCCUCAUAAAGGCUCACACUCACCAGGUGACGGCCAUGCAGCGCUAGGCUGAUGCAGUGUCCAGUGAGACCCGAGACGAGCUCUAAGUGAGUUGGCUGCUUCACAAGUCGGCAGCAGAAUCCAGGUGUCUGGUCACGGAUGGGGCAGAGGAGAACGUCGUGAACGCCUGGCAGGGUGAGAGCACUCUGCAGUUGGCUGCACGCUGGGCUGGGGCAGCCCCAGCCGUCCCCGACCCCACGAGUCUGGACAGGUGGACGCGCAGAGGUGGCGGCUGCACUGCCCGAGGCAGCAGCCGUCGAGUGACCAGAGGACAACGCCCCUGGACUACGCAAAACAGAGCGACAAGCAGGAUCUCGUUAAUAUGCUAAUAUAUUACCGUCUUAUCUUAUUAAAGGAAAUAACAUUCAGUUCACCAUUUUUCCUAACUUUUAAAAUAAAGACAAUAAAAACUUAA